rnacentral:rRNA from 1 species
UGGGGAAUCUUGCGCAAUGGGCGAAAGCCUGACGCAGCAACGCCGCGUGCGGGACGAAGGCUCUCGGGUCGUAAACCGCUUUCAGGAGGGAAGCGGUACCUCCAGAAGAAGCCCCGGCCAACUACGUGCCAGCAGCCGCGGUAACACGUAGGGGGCAAGCGUUGUCCGGAUUUAUUGGGCGUAAAGAGCUCGUAGGCGGCUUGGUAAGUCGGGUGUGAAACCUCCAGGCUCAACCUGGAGACGCCACUCGAUACUGCUAGGCUAGAGUCCGGUAGGGGAGCGUGGAAUUCCUGGUGUAGCGGUGAAAUGCGCAGAUAUCAGGAGGAACACCAGCGGCGAAGGCGGCGCUCUGGGCCGGAACUGACGCUGAGGAGCGAAAGCA